AACGGGUGAGUAACGCGUAAGCAACCUGCCCUUCAGAUGGGGACAACAGCUGGAAACGGCUGCUAAUACCGAAUACGUUCUUUUUGUCGCAUGGCAGAGGGAAGAAAGGGAGGCUCUUCGGAGCUUUCGCUGAAGGAGGGGCUUGCGUCUGAUUAGCUAGUUGGAGGGGUAACGGCCCACCAAGGCGACGAUCAGUAGCCGGUCUGAGAGGAUGAACGGCCACAUUGGGACUGAGACACGGCCCAGACUCC
rnacentral:rRNA from 1 species